rnacentral:snRNA from 1 species
AUCGCUUCUCGGCCUUUUGGCUAAGAUCAAGUGUAGUAUCUGUUCUUAUCAGUUUAAUAUCUGAUACGUCCUCUUAUCUGAGGACAACAUAUUAAAUGUAUUUUUGCAUGUAGGAGUUGGACUAGAAGCUUGCUCCAUCCACUCCACGCAUCAGCCUGGUAUUGCAGUACUUCCAGGAAUGGUGCAGCCCCU